UACGAAGGGUGCAAGCGUUGUUCGGAAUUAUUGGGCGUAAAGCGUGCGUAGGCGGAUACAUAUGUCGAUUGUGAAAGCCCUGGGCUCAACCUAGGAAUUGCAGUCGAAACUGUGUUUCUUGAAUGCCUGAGAGGAUGGCGGAAUAACCGGUGUAGUAGUGAAAUACGUAGAUAUCGGGAAGAACACCUGAGGCGAAGGCGGCUAUCUGGCAGUGCAUUGACGCUGAGGCACGAAAGCGUGGGGAGCAAACAGG
rnacentral:rRNA from 1 species